GUGAUUGCUUCAGCAGCACAUAUAUUAAAAAUUGGAAUGAUACAGAGAGGAUAGCAUGGCCCCUGCACAAGGAUGACAUAGGAAGCAGUCCAUAAAAAAAAAGAAGCU